AAGAAAUAGAAAGCAGUCAACUCAGGUCAUUAUUGUGUGUAAAGCAGUCAACUCAGGUCAUUAUUGUGUGUAAAGCAGUCAACUCAGGUCAUUAUUGUGUGUAAAGCAGUCAACUCAGGUCAUUAUUGUGUGUAAAGCAGUCAACUCAGGUCAUUAUUGUGUGUAAAGCAGUCAACUCAGGUCAUUAUUGUAUGUAAAGCAGUCAACUCAGGUCAUUAUUGUGUGUAAAGCAGUCAACUCAGGUCAUUAUUGUGUGUAAAGCAGUCAACUCAGGUCAUUAUUGUGUGUAAAGCAGUCAACUCAGGUCAUUAUUGUGUGUAAAGCAGUCAACUCAGGUCAUUAUUGUGUGUAAAGCAGUCAACUCAGGUCAUUAUUGUGUGUAAAGCAGUCAACUCAGGUCAUUAUUGUGUGUAAAGCAGUCAACUCAGGUCAUUAUUGUGUGUAAAGCAGUCAACUCAGGUCAUUAUUGUAUGUAAAGCAGUCAACUCAGGUCAUUAUUGUGUGUAAAGCAGUCAACUCAGGUCAUUAUUGUGUGUAAAGCAGUCAACUCAGGUCAUUAUUGUGUGUAAAGCAGUCAACUCAGGUCAUUAUUGUGUGUAAAGCAGUCAACUCAGGUCAUUAUUGUGUGUAAAGCAGUCAACUCAGGUCAUUAUUGUGUGUAAAGCAGUCAACUCAGGUCAUUAUUGUGUGUAAAGCAGUCAA